CAGUCGCCGCGGUAAUACGGAGGGAGCUAGCGUUGUUCGGAAUUACUGGGCGUAAAGCGCACGUAGGCGGCUUUGUAAGUUAGAGGUGAAAGCCUGGAGCUCAACUCCAGAACUGCCUUUAAGACUGCAUCGCUUGAAUCCAGGAGAGGUGAGUGGAAUUCCGAGUGUAGAGGUGAAAUUCGUAGAUAUUCGGAAGAACACCAGUGGCGAAGGCGGCUCACUGGACUGGUAUUGACGCUGAGGUGCGAAAGCGUGGGGAGCAAACAGGAUUAGAUACCCGAGUAGUCCCUGUCUCUUAUAC
rnacentral:rRNA from 1 species